UAAAAAUUAGUUAAAUUUAUAUAAUAUUAAUUUGUCAAAUUAAAGUUAUUUAUUAAAAAUAUUUUUAU
rnacentral:tRNA from 1 species